GUGUGGAGUCACUGAUCUGUACUUCUGAACAAACUCACUGGCAGAGAAUUAGUGGUUGGAUACACAAUCUCACACUGAUAUGACACGGCAAAGAGGACUCACACUGUACAUGCGAUGUCUGUUUGUCUUGUUUGUUGUUGAGACUCAAGUUUCCUGUGUGGAAUUAACUGUAAUUAAUUGCACCCCCAAUAAUACACUGUAUAAACAAGUUGAAAAUGCCCUUUGGAGUAAAAACAUACGCCCUGUUGCACAUCCAAGCGAUGUUCUAACUG